AAGCGUCUCACGGGGAGCCUCAUACGAGGCUGAGAGGUGGCCAGGCCACCGACCCGUCGAACCUGAUCCGGGUCAUGCCGGCGGAGGGAAUGAGCAUGCGACAUCGC
rfam:Microvirga aerilata strain BSC39 scf7180000028500, whole genome shotgun sequence.